ensembl:lncRNA
CUAUACUAAAAAUACUAUACUUUUUUUUUAUUUUUAUAAAUACUAUACUUUUUGAAUUUACUUUAAAAGUUACUUUAUUCCAGCUAUCAAUUGAACCAAGCUAGUUAGUGAGCAGUUAGCAUUCAACUAUGUGUCCCCACAUCACGACUGACUACAAUGGGUGCCCGGUCAUUCAGCUAUUCGGCACCCAGUCUCUGGAACUCCCUCCCCCCACACAUAAAACAGUCAGACACCAUUACAACCUUCAAGUCAACCUUCAAGUCACAACUCAAAACUCACCUGUGGGGUGUUCCACAAAGCCGGUUUUAUCACAUAACCGGAUCUAAGCUGUGAGGAGCCGGAGGCUGCUGCUGCCUCUGAACUCAUUCCACCACCACCACCACCAACUGCUGCUGUCACCACUCCUCCUAUUGCCCCAGUGAGGUCACAAUUCAGAAAAAGGGAGACGGAGAUCGAGGCCUUACUCCUUGAGGUGCUGAGGAAGCAGGCCGCACCUGUGCCUCCACCUGAGCCUCUCAUCCUCUCAGAGGAUGAGCACUUUUUAAAAACAAUACUUCCUUCCCUGCAGCGAUUCACCACCCAAUGCAAAGGAACAAAUUAAAUUCCAAAUGUAUAAAUUAUUGCACGAUGCAAACUGCGUUCAUAAUCCAGUAGAGUUUAAUUUGAUCAAUCAAUUUGGACCAGUCGAUGACUAGGUUCUGGGGUGACAAUCGUUGCAGGGAAUGAUCCAUGCCCAUUUUUUUUUUUUUUUGUUUACACACACACACACACACACACACACACACACACACACACACACACACACACACACACAC